GGCCCUGUAGCUCAACUGGAUAGAGUACCGGACUUCUACUCCGAGGGUUGCAGGUUCGACUCCUGCCAGGGUCACCA
rnacentral:tRNA from 1 species